AGGCGUAGAAGGCCUUGAAGCUCGAAAUUCAAAACAACAACAAGAACACAAUGUUUAUGUUCGUACUACCGUGCCUGUUCGGACAAGAUCACCCCAUCCCCUACUAUUUUCACAAUUGGUUGACCAGACGUGUCGCGGAGAGUCAUUCUGCUAUCGAAUAACAACAACACGCAUUACGUUGCAUUAGUUAUGUCUUGAUUUCAAAGAUAGCAUAGAUUGCAUAGACACCAUGACCAUCGAUGGACAAUCUAAGGAAUUUUCAUGAAAAUUGAAAAUUUGUGUGACCGCGUGCAAUGCGGUCGGUAGAGCCAGUGUUUGUUGCGUAAUAUUUUAAUUCUUGUCUGAGCGAAAUGGCUCUUAUUAAUUUAUUUAAAUUUAAUUCGCGAAGUUAGAGCCAGUGAGUUCGCCGAUUGUUACUUAAGCGCGCGCGUUAAUAAUCUUUUAUUUUUCUUUUUUUAUAUUUUUUCUUGUUCAAUACUCGUUUUCGGUAUUAGAGUCAGUGCUCAAGAGGACAAGGCCUCUCCAAGAAAUCAAGAUCACGCUUCACAUCAGCAUUAACUUUUUGGGGGAAAAUCCAACGGUAGCUCUAAAGCCAAGAAUAUAAGAAUCUUUCAUUAUCUCCAAC